UACGAAGGGGGCUAGCGUUGCUCGGAAUCACUGGGCGUAAAGCGCACGUAGGCGGAUUGUUAAGUCAGGGGUGAAAUCCUGGAGCUCAACUCCAGAACUGCCUUUGAUACUGGCGAUCUCGAGUCCGGGAGAGGUGAGUGGAACUGCGAGUGUAGAGGUGAAAUUCGUAGAUAUUGGGAAGAACACCAGUGGCGAAGGCGGCUCUCUGGUCCGAUACUGACGCUGAGGUGCGAAAGCGUGGGGAGCAAACAGG
rnacentral:rRNA from 1 species